UACGUAAAAAACUAGCGUUGUCCGGAAUCAUUGGGCGUAAAGAGCGUGUAGGCAAUCCGGUAAGUCCGCUGUGAAAGUCGGAAACUCAACCCUCGAAUGCCGGUGGAUACUGUCGGGCUAGAGUGCGGAAGAGACGAAUGUAAUUCCUGAUGUAGCGGUGAAAUACGCAGAUAUCAGAAGGAACACCUAUUGCGAAGGCAACUCGCUGGGACGUAACUGACGCUGAGACGCAAAAGCGUGAAAAGCAAACAGG
rnacentral:rRNA from 1 species